UGGAGCGUGUAGUCUGUGCCGGGAACGCCGCCUCAAGGUGAAGGUGACUGGAACCGGCCUGACUCGUGGCUGUCUGCGUCCGUUUCUUCUCAAUAAAGUUUUCCUUCAUAAGGAAACGGGUAGGCGGGGGGCCUCGGCAAGAUGGCGGCGCCCGUGUCGCCCUUGGUUACUGGGCGCUGCUUUCUAAGGGCUGCCGCUCGACACGCUGCUCUCCUGCUAACCGGGUGGGCUGAAGCCGGCACCCCGCGGAAAGCUUACACAGUUCAGGCAGCUGAGAAAGCUGCCAGUGGCACUCGAGCAGAUGCUAAUUCCAAAGCCUUGUUAAUUUGCAAUGGACCUUUAGAACAUUAUGAGUUUCUGAUUAAAGCCGAGGAGCUGAGGAACGAUGAGCAACAACGAAAAGUUGUACAAUGCCUGCAGAAGCUACAUGAAAGCCUUAAAGGCUAUAGUAUCAGUCCAAAGCACAUCUUAUCAAAGUUGUUUACAAGACAUAAACCCCCAAAAGGCCUUUAUGUCUAUGGAGAUGUUGGCACAGGAAAGACAAUGGUGAUGGACAUAUUUUAUUCUCAUAUAGAAGUAGAAAGAAAAAAGAGAGUCCAUUUUCAUGGCUUCAUGUUAGAUGUGCACAAAAGAAUACAUCGCCUUAAACAGACCCUGCCAAAACGGAAACCUGGAUUAAUGGCUAAAUCAUAUGACCCAAUAGCCCCAGUAGCUGCUGAAAUAAGUGAGGAGGCUUGUCUCUUGUGCUUUGAUGAAUUUCAGGUCACAGACAUUGCUGACGCCAUGAUUCUCAAGCAGCUCUUUGAAAACCUGUUUCAAAAUGGUGUUGUUGUUGUAGCAACAUCCAACAGGCCACCAGAAGAUCUCUAUAAAAAUGGGCUCCAAAGAGUGAACUUCGUGCCAUUCAUUGCUGUUCUUAAGAAAUACUGCAGCACUAUCCAGCUGGAUUCCGGAAUAGACUAUAGGAAACAAGCGCUACCAGCAGCAGGAAAGCUAUAUUACCUCACAAGUGAAGCUGAUGUGGAGGCUGUCAUGGAUAAGUUGUUUGAUGAGCUGGCUCAAAAACAAAAUGAUUUAACUAGACCAAGGAUUUUAAAAGUACAAGGCAGAGAGCUGAGAGUGAAUAAAGCGUGUGGAACCAUUGCAGACUUCACAUUUGAAGAGCUGUGUGACAGACCGCUUGGAGCCAGUGAUUACUUGGAAGUAGCUAUGCAUUUUGACCUAGUCUUUGUUCGUCACAUACCUGAGUUUACAAUGGCAAAAAGGACCCAAGCUCGCCGCUUCAUUACUCUUGUUGAUACUUUUUAUGACAAGAAGGUGCGUAUUGUAUGCUCUGCAUCAGCGCCACUCCAAAACAUAUUUAUUCAAGAAUCCCAUGAUGGUGGAUUGGACGAAAGUAGGGUAAUGAUGGACGAUUUGGGGUUGAGCCAGGAUUCAGCUCAAGGACUUUCAAUGUUCACGGGAGAGGAGGAGAUUUUUGCCCUUCAGCGUACCAUCUCACGACUGACUGAAAUGCAGACUGAGCAGUACUGGAAGGAGGGGGACAGGAGCAACCAACCACAGCUGCGAAAAGACUAGCAAAACACAAAUAGUACUUGUAAAGAAGAAGAGUUCUAACUCAAUGCUAAAUUAUUUUUAACAGGCACACUGCCCAAUUUUGCACCUUACUUCCUAGACAUUUGCCUUUUUAUUUGUUAACAAGGGGCAGGUUACAUGCUGGAAUGCUGGUGGGAACAGUUUUAUGCCUGUGUGUGGAAGUCCAGCCUAACAUGAAGUCUUUCCUGACCAAGAAUCCAAAUCCAGUUUUAAUCUACAAAUUAUGUGGAUAGGAGUGGCACAUACAGUUUAUGGUCUGCAUUUGUAUAUCAUACUUCAAAAACUACAGCUUGAACAAAUGGCAGACCAGAUAGGACAAUCUUACAAGAUUUGAGGUGAACUUUGUACUGGUAGUGAAAAUGGACUUUAUAUUGGAAUUUAUAUUGGAAUGGACUUUAUAUUGGAAUUUGACUAAGUUGUCCUCCUUCCCGCCUGAUGCUGAGGAUCUUUUCAAGCAGCUAUGCACAAGACAGUAAGUGCAAAUCUACACACACUCACAUACACCACAAUGCAGUGAUCCUUCUACACCAUUGCCACAUGUAACAUUGGUGGAUCAUGCUCUUUCACUGAACAACACAGGAGAAAGCAAUGCAAACACAGAAACAUCUCUUAGCAGUUCAACCACCCAUCAGUCAUGAUAUUGCUUUACUAAUAAGACCACCCACAUUGUUCAUUUAGGAAAGGUACCAGUCAAUGAAUGGUGUUGUUAGCAUAACUCUUGGAUACCCAAUGUACACCACAAACAAUGCACAGUCUGGCAUCCUCAAAGGCACACAUCCCAGUGCAGACCACCAUGGUACAGUAAGCAGGAGCACCAAAACUGGCUUACGAAUAUAAAGGACAAUUUUACUAGAAU